rnacentral:ncRNA from 1 species
GAUUCUCUGGAGAGUCUCGAUACGAGCGCCGAAGGUGUACGCGCGCAGAGCGAAAUGUCGUUAAGCGAUGUGUGUAAUCUCUCAGGCAAAAGGACAGAGCAGA